CCUACGGGGGACUGCAGUGGGGAAUAUUGCACAAUGGGGGAAACCCUGAUGCAGCGACGCCGCGUGAGUGAAGAAGUAUUUCGGUACGUAAAGCUCUAUCAGCAGGGAAGAAAAUGACGGUACCUGACUAAGAAGCCCCGGCUAACUACGUGCCAGCAGCCGCGGUAAUACGUAGGGGUCAAGCGUUAUCCGGAUUUACUGGGUGUAAAGGGAGCGUAGACGGCAGCGCAAGUCUGGAGUGAAAUCCCAUGGCUUAACCAUGGAACUGCUUGGGAAACUGGGCAGCUAGAGUGCAGGAGAGGUAAGCGGAAUUCCUAGUGUAGCGGUGAAAUGCGUAGAUAUUAGGAGGAACACCAGUGGCGAAGGCGGCUUACUGGACUGUAACUGACGUUGAGGCUCGAAAGCGUGGGGAGCAAACAGGAUUAGAUACCCGAGUAGUC
rnacentral:rRNA from 1 species